rnacentral:rRNA from 1 species
AUUACGCCNGGCGGUAUGCCCUAACACAUGCAAGUCGUACGAGAAAAUUUUUUCUAGUGGCGGACGGGUGAGUAACACGUGAGAAUCUACCUCUAGGAGGGGGAUAACAGUUGGAAACGACUGCUAAAACCCCAUAUGCCAUUAUUGGUGAAAAAGAUUUAUCUGCCUGGGGAUGAGCUCGCGCCUGAUUAGCUAGUUGGUAAGGUAAUGGCUUACCAAGGCAACGAUCAGUAGCUGGUCUUAGAGGAUGAUCAGCCACACUGGAACUGAGAUACGGUCCAGACUCCUACGGGAGGCAGCAGUGGGGAAUUUUCCACAAUGGGCGAAAGCCUGAUGGAGCAAUACCGUGUGAGGGAUGAAGGCCUGUGGGUUGUAAACCUCUUUUUUCAGGAAAGAAACUUUGACGGUACCUGAAGAAUAAGCAUCGGCUAACUCCGUGCCAGCAGCCGCGGUAAUACGGAGGAUGCAAGCGUUAUCCGGAAUCACUGGGCGUAAAGCGUCUGUAGGUGGUUUGUCAAGUCUGCUGUUAAAGCUUGAGGCUUAACCUCAAAAAAGCAGUGGAAACUGAUAGACUAGAGGAUGGUAGGGGCAGAGAGAAUUCUCAGUGUAGCGGUGAAAUGCGUAGAUAUUGAGAAGAAUACCGAUAGCGAAGGCGCUCUGCUGGGCCAUUACUGACACUCAGAGACGAAAGCUAGGGGAGCAAAUGGGAUUAGAUACCCCAGUAGUCCUAGCCGUAAACUAUGGAUACUAGAUGUUGUGUGAGUCAAAUUGUGCAGUAUCGAAGCUAACGCGUUAAGUAUCCCGCCUGGGAAGUACGCUCGCAAGAGUGAAACUCAAAGGAAUUGACGGGGACCCGCACAAGCGGUGGAGCAUGUGGUUUAAUUCGAUGCACCGCGUUUGGUGUACGAGGUGGCGAACACGCCCAGGGGCAGUUAAGGAAACUCAAAGUGAGAACGCUCGCAUGAAGGGUCCGCCCUAUGAAUUGCGCAAUCGAAGCUAUGACGUGUUAAACUGAGUGUGUUGUAGAUCAUAGGUAUCAAAUGCCGAUCCUGAUGACCCCAUAGAUUAGGGUAAACGAGGGGAUCGAAAGCAGAGACUCACAGUCAUUACCGGGUCGUCUCGCGGAAGCGAUAGCCAUAAGAAGAGUUAUAGAUGCGUAAAGUGGCGAUGUGACUCUUAAGAGAGACGGGGAUGGUAGGAGAUCAGAUAGUCAAAGGUGACGAAAAAAC